rnacentral:rRNA from 1 species
ACGAACGCUGGCGGCGUGGAUAAGACAUGCAAGUCGAACGACGAUUUGAAGGUAGCAAUAUUUUCAAGUUGGAGUGGCGCAAGGGUGCGUAACACGUGGGUAAUUUGCCGUAAAGCCCGGAAUAACUCGUUGAAAAACGAACUAAUACCGGAUGUGAUUUUUGGAAGGCAUCUUCUGAAACUUAAAGUUGGGGACCGCAAGGCCUGACACUUUUCGAUAAGCCCGCGGCCUAUCAGCUAGUUGGUGAGGUAACGGCUCACCAAGGCUAAGACGGGUAGCUGGUCUGAGAGGACGACCAGCCUCACUGGAACUGAGACACGGUCCAGACACCUACGGGUGGCAGCAGUGGGGAAUUUUGCACAAUGGGCGAAAGCCUGAUGCAGCAACGCCGCGUGUGUGAUGAAGGCCUUCGGGUUGU